GCCGAUGUAGCUCAAUUGGCAGAGCAACGGUUUUGUAAACCGUUGGUUCAGGGUUCGAGUCCCUGCAUCGGCUCCA
rnacentral:tRNA from 1 species